GAUGAACGCUGGCGGCGUGCUUAACACAUGCAAGUCGAACGGAAAGGCCCAAGCUUGCUUGGGUACUCGAGUGGCGAACGGGUGAGUAACACGUGGGUGAUCUGCCCCGCACUUCGGGAUAAGCCUGGGAAACUGGGUCUAAUACCGGAUAGGACCACAUUUUGGAUGGUGUGGUGGAAAGUUUUUCGGUGUGGGAUGAGCUCGCGGCCUAUCAGCUUGUUGGUGGGGUAAUGGCCUACCAAGGCGUCGACGGGUAGCCGGCCUGAGAGGGUGUACGGCCACAUUGGGACUGAGAUACGGCCCAGACUCCUACGGGAGGCAGCAGUGGGGAAUAUUGCACAAUGGGCGCAAGCCUGAUGCAGCGACGCCGCGUGGGGGAUGACGGCCUUCGGGUUGUAAACUCCUUUCGCUAGGGACGAAGCGUUUUUGUGACGGUACCUGGAGAAGAAGCACCGGCUAACUACGUG
rnacentral:rRNA from 1 species